CCUACAGCAUAAAAUACAAAAUGGCAUUGAAAGCAAACCAUAUGCUUAGAGAGCCAUCAGCUAAUCCUGGGUAAAGUGAAGCAGUCAACUAAGAACAGAAAUGCAGUAGGACAAAUUGGUUUAGAAAAUAGUAGAAUAUUGGUCACCAGUGCUGACCAAUAGUUUAAUCAGCACUUUGAUGCAAUAAAGACAUUGAAAUUUUAUUGUUUGUAUGGAAAAAGGUAAAUGUCAAAUGCUUUUUUCCUCUGGAAAAAGAUGAAUGUAUAAGUAAAAAUAAAUUUAAUAUAAUUGAGUUUAAAAUGGCUAUUAUAAGGUUGUAAGAGACUUAGAUAAUAUGAAGAUAAUGAUGAUAGAGAUGAUAACUGUGAUAAUUGCGACAAAUACUAAUCUUUAUUGAGUCCCACCUCUGUGCUCAUUUACACUGCUCCAUAGUUGGCAGUUUAUCUACAUCCUGUUACCUCGCAACAACUUUACAAGAUUGUGCCAUAACCACCACUCAACAGAUGGAAAAACCACUCACUUGUUCAAGAAACAUUGAUUGAAUAUUCCCUAUGGACUCCAACGUUCAUGCAUCAAAGGUUAGGGACAAAGAAUGUUCUAGUUCCUGAAACUACACAUGAUUACUCUGCUAUCCCUCUCUUUACAUACGUAUAAAAUGUUAUUCAUAGUUCAUGGCACAUGGUGGGUAUUAAAAAAUAGUAUUUACUUCCUGUGUCCUUGAAUUGCAAUGUAUAAGAAAAUACUAAAGUAAUUUAAUUUAAAGCCACUGCCCACAUGAAAUAACUCAUAUAAACUCUUGAAAUUGACAUUUAUAAAACAUAUAUUUUUUUUUAAAAAAAGAGACUAGAAAGAAAGUUAAAGAUACAAAAAAAAUGGUGGUGUUUAGCUCACCUCAGCUCAAUUCUUAGUGCUGCUCUGAAUAGCAACACAUAAAAAUUAUCUCCAGAGAAGUAUGAUUAAAAUUGUGAAAUAUCUAAAAGUCAUGUCAUAAAAGAAAUAAUGGGCAAGAAAGUGAUGGAAGGGUUAGGCCUUUGGAGUUUAUGAUAACUUCUUUUAGAUAUUAAAGGGUACUGUAGUGCAUGGUCUAAUCCCAGCAACUCAGGAGGCUUCACAAGUUCAAGGCCAGCCUCAGCUUGAGCAACACCCUGUCUCAAAAAUAAACAAAUAAAUAAAAAGGGCCGGGGACAUAGUGCUCUGUGGUGAGGCACCCUGGGUUCAAUUACCAGCACCAAAAUAAAGAUAAAGAAAAAGAAAAAAAAAGUCAGGGAGUAAGAGAAGGCAGUUACCUCUAGGGAAAUAAUAGAAAGGCAGAAUAAGGGCUAAUAGAGGAAAGGUGUAUAAAAGAGAUUUCUGCCUAAUAUAAGGAGGAACUUUAUGACAGGCAGAACUGCUCACAUAUGAAAUUAUGAGAUAUGCUGCUUAGUGAGGCAUGCAUUCUUUCAUUCAUUUAAUUGUUUGUUCAGGAAAUAUGUAUUGAAUAUCUCCUAUAAAAAAUACCAUAUGGCCUAGAAUGGGAUCAAUACCGCAAAAGCUGGGUCAACCAGGUGACAAAGGAAGCUCCAAGAAUGAAUAGAACAGCAACUGGGAAGGUCCAUGCUGCAGAGAACCAAAGACAAGAAUAAAAGCCAGAUGACAAUUUUACACUCAAACUUGUCAUUAAAAGACUAAGAAUAAAAAAGACCCACUUUCCCAGUGUGGCACUGGGUAGGUACUUGAUGUAACAGACUCUCAUCUGAGAGAUCCUCAUGUAACUUCUAGUGUUCUGAAGACUGAUUUUCAAUUUGCAUCUUUUCCUUAUCAAUUGCCUUCAAAGGAUAAAGAACAGUAGCAGUCUUUUUAGACCAACUCUCAUAAACAUCACCAGGUUUUACAUAGACAGCAGUGGUUUACAACUAUGGAGGGUGGGCAGUUUUGUAUGGUGGUUCAGUGUGUGAGAUUUGGAGCCAAGUGAUUCUGGCAUUAUCAUGUAUUGGUCAUGUGACUUUAGGACAGUUAUCAAAUCUUUUUGCUUCUCUAUAAAACACGGAUAAUAAUCAUACCUGUAUCCUAGAGUUGUAAUGAAGAUUAUUAAAUUACGUAGCACAUGGAAGUAGUUUAGUAUAAUCUGUGGUACAUACUAUGUGUGAGUCAUAGCCAUUCUGAGUACCAGAAUCACCUGGCAUGGGAUUUGAACAAAACAGAUAUCCAGCCUCCAAUAGAAAUGUCUGAUUAGGUGGCUCCAAGAUGAGGUACCAGUGACCAUAUUUUGAACCACGUCUCCAGGAAAUUCUGGUCCACAACAGAAUUUGAAAAUCACUUGUUGAUGAUCUUAAAUUUGUACUUCUUCCAACAUUAUCUUACAUCUAGCAAAUAUUGGCCUGCUUGAGAUGUAAAGAAGGGAAGAAAAAUAAUUAGAUUAUCCACAUGAUCAUACCAUUGCCAUGGAUCAUACUUAGCCUCUCUUUUUUCAGUCUAACUCUAGACUGGCCAAAAAGAGGACUUUUGGAUGAAAUCUGUGCAGUAUCAGUGUCCACUGAAUAUCCAUAACUGACAUCACUAAGUCCCAGAUAACACAGCAGAGAGUGAAGCAAAGGUCAGCAUCAGGUUUUCAGUGUGAUGAAAAUACAAUAUUCAAAAGUUGAAGAAAAAUCACAAAUUUACUGUCUUUUUUACAUGCUGCCAUUGUUUUUAUAUAAAAAUGAUUUCUCCUAAAUAAGGAACACUUACGAUAAUAAACUUGCAUUAUUUGAGAAAUUUUAUAUCCUAAUUACAAAUUGAGCUUUUUUUCAUUUUUAAAUAGGUUCUAUUUAAACACACACACACACACACACACACACACAUACAUACCGCAAUACAGAAUAUUUUUUAUAAGUAUUCCUAUUUUUUCCCAGGUACAAAUUCUAUUAUUUACUUGUUGGCAUAGAAUGUGUGUUUUUGUUUUAAAGAACACUGGGUCAACCAAUAAUCAAUCAGUGGUUGUGUAGAGACCUUACAGGUUUUCUGUAAUAAAAUUUGCUUUCAG
rnacentral:lncRNA from 1 species